UACGAAGGGGGCUAGCGUUGUUCGGAUUUACUGGGCGUAAAGCGCACGUAGGCGGAUCGUUAAGUCAGUGGUGAAAGCCCGGAGCUCAACUCCGGAACUGCCAUUGAAACUGUUUAGCUUGAGGACGAGAGAGGUGAGUGGAAUUCCCAGUGUAGAGGUGAAAUUCGUAGAUAUUGGGAAGAACACCGGUGGCGAAGGCGGCUCACUGGCUCGUAUCUGACGCUCAGGCGCGAAAGCGUGGGGAGCAAACGGG
rnacentral:rRNA from 1 species